AUUGAACGCUGGCGGCAUGCCUUACACAUGCAAGUCGAACGGCAGCACGGGUGCUUGCACCUGGUGGCGAGUGGCGAACGGGUGAGUAAUACAUCGGAACGUACCUUAUCGUGGGGGAUAACGCAGCGAAAGCUGUGCUAAUACCGCAUACGCCCUGAGGGGGAAAGCGGGGGAUCGAAAGACCUCGCGCGAUUAGAGCGGCCGAUGCCUGAUUAGCUUGUUGGGGGGGUAAAAGCCCACCAAGGCGACUAUCAGUAGCUGGUCUGAGAGGAAGGUCGGCCACACUGGGACUGGGACACGGCCCAGACUGCUAGGGGAGGCAGCAGUGGCGAAUUUUGGGCAAUGGGGGCAACCCGGAUCCAGCAAUGCCGCGUGAGUGAAGAAGGCCUUCGUGUUGUAAAGCUCUUUUGUCAGGGAAGAAACACCGGCUCUAACACAGUCCGGGAAUGACGGUACCUGAAGAAUAAGCACCGGCUAACUACGUGCCAGCCGCCGCCGUAA
rnacentral:rRNA from 1 species